AUUGAACGCUGGCGGCAUGCCUUGCACAUGCAAGUCGAACGGCAGCACGGGGGCAACCCUGGUGGCGAGUGGCGAACGGGUGAGUAAUGCAUCGGAACGUGCCCAGUAGUGGGGGAUAACCAGUCGAAAGACUGGCUAAUACCGCAUACGACCUACGGGUGAAAGCGGGGGACCGUAAGGCCUCGCGCUAUUGGAGCGGCCGAUGUCUGAUUAGCUAGUUGGCGGGGUAAGAGCCCACCAAGGCGACGAUCAGUAGCUGGUCUGAGGGGACGACCAGCCACACUGGGACUGAGACACGGCCCAGACUCCUACGGGAGGCAGCAGUGGGGAAUUUUGGACAAUGGGCGCAAGCCUGAUCCAGCCAUGCCGCGUGCGGGAAGAAGGCCUUCGGGUUGUAAACCGCUUUUGGCAGGAACGAAACGGCGCAAGCCAAUACCUUGCGCUAAUGACGGUACCUGCAGAAUAAGCACCGGCUAACUACGUGCCAGCAGCCGCAGUAAUAC
rnacentral:rRNA from 1 species